rnacentral:lncRNA from 1 species
UGUUUAGUUGUAAUCUUAGCUGGAGAGCAAAAGUGGUUAACGUAAAGUAUAUGAACAGUCGUUGUCGCCUACUAGAUGAGCUGUAAGGAUCAGUACUCAAACUGCAUACGCUUUUGAUCAAUCAAUUAGAGCAUGUAGUUUUACCAUUCUUUAGGACAAACCAAAAGCAUUUUGAUUUUAGUUACCUAUAGAAGAGAAACGGUUUUGUUUUCUACUUCACAGUCAAUAUAGGCAACUCAACGUCCACUUCAGAGACUUUCCUGCUACCGUAGAAAAGAAAAGAACGUAUCAAUCUUGUCUGCAUCUCAGACAUAUGUUUGCUUGCUUUUAAAAAAAUGUGUAUUGGCCAUUUGAUGUUGAAACUUCUGCAAAGUGAAAGUUUUUCUUACAGUUUGUUAUCUUUGAUCGUUUGUAGGUAUUUUAUUCUUUUGUGUUUCCAUUUUACAAAAGGACACAGAAGUUUAAGCCUAGUCAUUUUAAUUGUCUCUAUCAUUUGCUUGUUAAGCAUAUAUUUAAUUAUGAAUGCGGUAUGCUUAUUAUGUCACUAGUUGUUUCGACUAUGUAAUUAAGCAAAACUAUUUUAAUAAACUUUGAAAACGAAAGAAAAUGUUAAAAAAGCUUUACUAAUCUUGAGUUGGAUUCCAUAUCAAAUUUUAUCGGCCCUCCGACAAAAGAAAAGGCUGGCCAGAUGGAAAGUAAUAGUAAAUGUGUAACGGGUUUAAAGUGAGUGACAAAUCUACACUCACUUUUACCAAAAAAAAAAUUCUACACUCACUGAAAACAUAAUAAUUAAGUCUAUUUAAAUGGUGGGUUUAUGGGGGCAUGAAACUAUAAAAUGAUAUCAUUUGAUCAUGCGAGAUUAGGUAAAACGAAACAAUCAGGCUAAAAUCCAAAGUGAUUGUAAGCCGCCUAUCUUUUCUUUUUUCGUAAAAAGAUUUUCUAUUAAAAUGCAAGAGAAAGAAAAGGGUUACGGAGUUUUUACUCAGUGGCCAAGUGGCCUACAUAUUAUGGAAACAAACUUGAAUCCUCACAAAGUGUAGUUUAGAUGAGUAGAAGAAGCGUAGCUAGCAAUUAGUUAGGAGAGCCAUAACUGCAUCAGUGUGGAGAAGAAGAUUGGCCUAUCGAAUCUCAAGCUAGAGAUUCUGAUUUUUAACUGUGACUUUGAUCUGUUUGAGAAGGCCUUCCGUUGAGGAAAAGAGCCGCCUAUCUUUUCCUUACAGUGUUGUAAUACAUGUGUGUGUUUUCUUCUCUCCAACCCGUAUAGUUAACUGCAUACUCGUAUCAUUUUUUUAAAAAAAAUAAGAAAGUUUUUAUCUACCGAAAAUAACACAAAGACAAAACCAAAUCCCUUAUAUAUUAAUUGAGGAACAUUUGAAAAGAUGUAACCUCAAUUUUGUAUUAAUUAAAAGAGGCCCCAAUGCAUAGGUGGCACUCAAUUAGGUAGUCAAUUACAUUCAAUUGAAAAAUAAGUAGGUCCACAUUCGAUUUUUAUAUGUUGUUAGAUACAUAAGUUGGUCAAACUAUAUGAUAUAAUGAUAUGAUUGAUAUUUUCUUUCCUUAAAGAAAACCUACGGAAUUACCAUAAAGGACUAAUAUAUAUAUGACAAUUAAUGAGUUUAAUAAUAAAGAUUUGAUAACAAUGUAUAUCUCCUCUAUCAUUUUUUGUUUAAUUUUAUAUUAUUAAAAUAAAUUAAACAAUCAAAUUAGCUAUAAAAAUAAAAUUUAGAUUUUUUCGUAUAUGUUAUAUUUUGAAUUUUUAAAAACGACAAUAAAUGACUAAAACUAUUAAAAUUAUUAUGUUAAAAAUUAAUGAUCAAUGGUUUAACAUUUUUAUUAUAAGAAGAUACACAUGAUUUUAAAACCAUAUGAGUAAAAAAUAUCAUUUAAUAAUAAAAUAAAUAUAUAUAUAUAUAUAUAUUAAACACUAUAUACCAUAAGAUUACAUAAAUAUUUUAAUAUUAAAACUUUCAAUGAAUUUUCAAGAACAUUUAUAAAUUAUAAACUUAUUAAAAAUUUCAGAUUGAAAAUUUUGUUAUCGAUGAUUUAAAUAUUUUGUUAUAAAACGAUAUGAACGAUCAUAGAACCGUAUGAUUAUAAAUUCUUAUUUAAUAAAUAAUUAUAUAAAAUAUACUAUUCCUAGAAAAAUAGGUUGGUCCAUCUUAACUUAUAUUACACUUUUUAUUAAACUAAUUAUCGAAUUGAUAAAUAACGUACCAAAAAAUGUUUUGCACUUUCCUUAAAUAAAAGCUACGAAAUUACCUAAUAUGAUUAACGUAUAUGUGAAAAUUAAUUAUAAUGAAUAAUAAAUAUUUGAUAACAAUUUUUAUAUCUUAGUUCUUUUUUUAAUUUUAUAUUAUUAAAAUAUAUUUAAAAAUCACAUUAAAUAUAUAAUAAAAACAUUUAUAAUUUUUUUAUAUGUUAUAUUUUGAAUUUUUCAAAACGUCUAUAAAUUAUUAGAAAUUUGAAGAUCCCCACUCUGAAAAUUUUGUGAUCAAUAGAUUAUUUUUUUUGUCAUAAUAAGUUACAAAUGAUCAUAAAAUUGUAUUAAGAUGAAUUUUUAUUUAAUAUUAUAAGAAGAUACACAUUAUUUUAAAACCAUAUGAGUAAAAACAUUUAUAAAUUAUAAACUUAUUAAAGAUUUCACAUUGAAAAUUUUGUUAUCGAUGAUUUAAAUAUUCAGUUAUAAAAUGAUAUGAAUGAUCAUAGAACUGUAUGAUUAUAAAUUCUCAUUUAAUAAAUGACUAUAUAAAAUAUACUAUUCUUAGAAAAAUAGGUUGGUCCAUCUUGACUUACAUUAUAUUUUUUAUUAAACUAACUAUCGAAUUGAUAAAUAAUCUACCAAAAUUUUUUUUGCACUUUCCUUAAUUAGAAGCUACGAAAUUACCUAAUAUGAUUAACGUAUAUAUGAAAAUUAAUUAUUAUGAAUAAUAAAUAUUUGAUAACAAUUUUGGUAUCUUAGUUCUUUUUUUUAAAUUUUAUAUUAUUGAAAGAUAUUAAAAAAUCACAUUAAAUAUAUAAUAAAAACAUUUAUAUUUUUUCUUAUAUGUUAUAUUUGAAUUUUUCAAAACGUCUAUAUAUUAUUAGAAAUUUGAAUAUUCCCACUCUGAAAAUUUUGUGAUCAAUAGAUUAUUUUUUUGUUAUAAUAAGUUACAAAUGAUCAUAAAAUAUAACGCAUAUGAAUUUUAUUUAAUGAAUAUAUAUAUAUAUAUAUAUAUAUAAACAUUAAUGAUUUAAAGCAACAAGAUUGGCUGAUCAAUUUAGUCGUCGAGUUGAAAUCUUUCAAAAGUAUGUGAAAAACAAAAGUCAAAGUAAAUAUAGAUUUAGAAUAGUAGUUAUAUUUUACUAACCAAAUACCGAAAAAACCCGAACCGAACCGAAACCAAUCCGAUAUCCGGAUUAAUCCAAAUGAAGCCAAACUAUUGUUUCAUUUUCCAAAAUAUAAUAAAAAUAAUAACUUAAUCCCGCGCAAGGCGCGGGUCUUAUCCUAGUUAGUUAGUAAUAGUGUUACGUACGUACUAUCGUGUUAUAUUUUAAAUUCAAACAUGAUGUGCAUGUGUAAGUUUCUAAG